AUAACAUUCGAGGCAAAAGUGAUGUCACAAACAGAUGGGAAUUCCAAGUAAUACUGAGUCAUGGUUCUAGGGGAAUAAAACAAUUACUUUACAGCUCAGUGCAAUGUAGUAUUUAAAGAAAAGGUAGGCAUUUUGAUUCCCAAGUAAACUAAAGAGAAGAAAACUGAGGCUUAAAGAGGGCCUGUUUGCGUGUUCCCAACUGCUAUGUGGCCAAGAAUAACAAUCUUUAAUAUUGGUAUCCUUAUUUACAAAGAAAAUGAGUGCAGAAAGGACAAGUAGUUUUCGUGAAACCACUUGGAAGUGGAGGAGAAGGGUUUUGAACUCCCAUCAUCUCAAGCUCAUGCUUUGCCAUCUCACCACAGUGAAAUGAUGGAAAACUCAAGUCUGCAAACCUUAAAUUUUCAAUCAAAGGGAGGAAACCUUGGGCAAAUGAAGAGGUCAUGGAUAUGAUAUGAAAAUAUUUUAUGAUUUUGCAUGUGAGAAGCUACUGCAUAGAUGAAUUCAACUGCAGGAUCCCUUUUAAAAAAUAUGUAUCUUCAAGAUUGAGUGUGAGCCUUCACAAACUCCUCCUUGUAUCUUAAGUCUGCUGGAGUACUGGCCUGACUCCACUCACUCACUGUGUACUUCGUUUGAAACUAACAAACAAUACAGUGACUGUCAGUAGAUGUUGCCUCCUCAGUCUACAGAGCCAACAAAAAUUAUGGAAAAGUAAGUUACUUCACUGGAGUUUGAGAUGUAAAUUCUGAAUUGAUCAUGCUGUUUCUUUAAAAUUCCCAAGUAAAAUUUUCUACUCAAUUCACAAA